CAACAAACAAAUAUGUUUUUAGAAAUAACAUAUUAUGAAGGAAACUUUUUUAUAUGUCUACUUAUUACUAAAAGUUAUUCAUAAUAAAGUGCCAGCCAUUCCAAGAUUUGUUAUUAAAAUAAAUCUAUACAACAAAGCUAUUUUCUCCCAAACUUUAAUUGUAAAAAAAAAAAUAUUAUGCAAAUGUGAAGGAUACUAUAGAUCAACUACCGUGCUUAAAUAAUCAAAGUCCCGUUUUAAGUAGAAAUUGGCGAUUAUAAUUGAAAGGCCCUUCACGGAAGACUGUUUGUGGGAGGGUUGGAAGCUCUUGAGGACGAGCACUGCUGCAAAUAGGUAAAAUGAGGUUCGGAAGCUGUGCGAGGGAGCACGUAAAUGAAUUUUUUUGAAGAAAUCAAAACUUUAAUUUGCUAUUUAAACUCUCAUAUAAUGAAUCAUCAGUAUUUAAAAAUAAACCAGUCUUUCUAUAAAUUAAGAAAAUGUGACCAAAAAGGCGUUAGUUGCUAAGGACUGAAAGCUCACUAGAUGUCAGUCAAGAGCAAGCUGCCAUGCCAAUGUGGAGGUCUGGGGUCAAAUCCACCAAACUGGAUUUCUAAAUACUGCCAUGAUGGCUGCCAUGAGCCCACGAAAUGAUCAACAAUGCUCAAUUACAAACAGUGUGAUAUGAUGGAUGAGGGUGCCAUGAGCCUGCAAAAUGACCUCCAAAGCUUCCUGAUAUGCAGAAUGACCUCCAAUCCCUUCUGUAACUGCUCUCGCCUCUCAUUACAUCUCCAUGCCCUGCUUUUGGUCUCUAAUAAAAACAAUUUGUAUUAAAGUCUAUUUUAAUUAAGAUUAAGGCUUUUAAAUUUCACUAAUUCCUUUAUAUGUGAAUAACUAUAGCAGUUUCAUAUAAAGAUCAAUAAAUCAUGAACUAAUCUAA